rnacentral:lncRNA from 1 species
UGAAACAUCUCAAAUUGAAAAUAAUGGGAUGGGACGGACGGAGUAAUUUUUUAAGGGCAUGAAUCAUAACCAACCAAGCCUAUGGGUUUUAGGAGGAGCAUCUCUCAACCCACCUCAAAUGAUUCGGUCUGGUAUUGGCGAUAUUGUGGUGUGGUACUUCGGCGUGCAAUUAAUCUGAUCGCGAUUCUGAUCUGUUACUCUCAAAUGCCCACUUCAAAGGAAUCACAGCCAAAUACUGCACUAAAUAUAGCAGGAAGAAGAAGCAAUGGUAUUUUUGUCACGAUAUUAUCUCCUUCACAUAUUUAUAUUUUGCUUUUAAUUAUUUUUGUGCAAAUUUCAGAAACUGUGAAAGGGUGGGUACCCAUUACGAUCGGGAGUGCAAAUCUUCUUUAUAAGCUGUAAUGGAGGGAGGGAACGUCAAGCCAUGAAGCCAGUAAAGUUAUUGAUUUCUGUAUCACUGUAUGUGUUUCUCAGUUUUACUAGAUUUUUUUUUGGGUAUUUUAAGUCAUUUCCCCCUCAAUUUUUACUCAUUCAACUACAAUUAACUGUACGUCUUGCUAAUUUUUGUAUGUGGUAGUGAUACUAAUACUCAGUUCCAAAUUUAGAGAUACACUAGUCUACCUUGCACACAAACGUGAGUGAUUAGUUUUCUAAUACUUAUAAAUGAAAUCUAAGAUUAAAAACAUUUAGAUGAGUAAUAAUUAAAUUAAUUAGUUAUAGAGUUAAAUUAUGGGUCCAUCGGAUAUUGUUUGAGUCCUUUGAAUGGAUAUAAUAUGUAGAAUAGGUUUUACAGAGGGAAGCAUUGAAUGAUAAUUUUAGAGAGAGAGAUAAAGUACAUAAUUAGAUAAACCUGAACAUUACUUCUGUCAAAGUUAAUCAUCAAAGAUGAUGAUUAAGCUGCAAAAGCUUUUCAAGCAUAAGGAAAGUCUAAUUACACAUUUCAAAUACAUAGUUUUAGAUAUCAUAUUGUUGUAAGACAUGCCCAACGCUUUCCAUCUACCAUUCUCCUUUGCUUUGGCAUUCACAAGCUUAUGGUCCUCCGCAUUGUUUUAGGCUUCUCCUCCAUUCUUGUCAACUUUGGAAAUUUCUCCUUCAACACCUUCUGCAUGUUUGCGCCAAACCAAUUAGGCAUGUUUAGUUCACAAUACUGGAAGAAAAGCUCCUACAAAAGUAUUAAUGUACAAAAAGUCCAAGUUAUUAUCUAAAAACAUAUUUUUCUUACCAACUCGAACUUUAACCUUUUAUUCUCUCCUUUCAGUUGAAUCUGCUCUACUUCCAAUUGCAUUGUGUAUGCCUGCACAGUAAAAAAUUAAUUUUCACUGUAAUCAUGGUACAAUUCCAUUGCAGACAUAGCAUUUAGCAUUUGUUUUCUCUUUAUUUCUGUUUACAAGAUUGUGAUUCCUAAAUAUUGAGAAAAUAAAAAUUGCUCAAACUUUUUUAUUAAGGUACAGAGAAAACUGUUGUGAGAACUGUGUUCGACUGUAGAGUUUUAGACACAAAAAGGACUUCUUUUUCUAGCGAAGCAUAACCUGUACAAUUUUUACUUUUAUUUUUAGAUGAUGGUGGAACCCGCAUCCACUACUCUUAGGGCGUGCAUUGUAUAAAGUGUCAGUGCAUGCAAUACUCACCAACCAUGCAUAUCGGGUAAACCCAUAGCAAAUUAUGUGCGAGUUACCCGAAGGAAUUAUUGCCUUUGUGGGGGUAUUGUAUGCUUUGGAACAAACUCAUCACUAGUUGCAUUGUCUGACUACCAUUUGGGAUAACCCGUUGGGGUUGUGCAGAAUUCUAACUUUACUAAAUUCUAUUUCUCUCUCUCUCUCUGUGUGUACGACUAAGAAUUUGUGGGGAGGGUCAAUGAACCCAUGACCUGUGGUUAAUAGGGGUGACUUUGAUAUAUCAUUUUGGAGACUAGCUUACUAUAUUGUAAACCGUUAGGGUUAUUUUUUCAUUCACUUCAUUGCUUUUUCCUACUUGCUAAAGUUUCUUUGGGAAGAGAUUGGGGAUUAUAAGUGUUUACUACAUUGGCUACUUUCAAAAUAUAGUUAAACUAAGAUUCUUAUGGUUUAGAUAUGAACCUGCUUUCUAGCUCGAGAGCGUGCUGCCGACUCUCUAUUCCUGAACAUCCUCCGUUGCUUGCGUGCCACUAUCACCUCUAUUGAGUCAGUUUUUGUCUUUCUUUUGUUACUUGGCUCAGUCACGUCCGAUGCACUAUUGUUACAUUUAACUUUUUCAAUGUUGUCAAAUUGUUCAUCCCCAAUUGUCACGCUACCUUGAGUAAACAUCUGGUACGUUGAUGAUCCAUUCUCUAGCAAAUUAUUUCCAGCAUAAUUUGUAGCAACAAUAGAUAAUUGAUGAUCCAUUGGCGAUCCCAUUUUCAUUUUCGUAUCGAGAUCUGGGAUGCUGUUCUGUGAAUUUUCUAGCAAGGUAGACUUCCUAAGAACCCCGUUACUUAUCAAGAAAUCCUCCAAGGUAAUUUGUUCAACAGUUUCUUGGGAAGAAGUUGGGUCAUGAUUACAACAACUGAGGUGUAGACCCGGAAGUUGUGAAUCAUUUUUAUUGAUUUCAGACCACAGUUCUUCUAGAGUUUUACCGCAAUGUGUGGUGGGGAUGGAAAAAGAUUCUUGUCGAGGUAACAUUGUUGGUUGGGUGGCUCUGUUUUCAUAGGAUGGUUCGAUUUGGUUGAAUUUUAAAGAAUCUUGAUUUUCUUCACCGACAAAUUUAUUGAGGAGUUCAUCGAAGUUCAUGGAGCCAUAAUUUUUCCCCAUUUCGUUCUGAAAUUCAUCUAGGGUACGAGAGAAUUUAGAAGUAGGUUUGUUCAAUGAAGAUAUCGGGUGGUCGUUCAUUUCUUCUUUUUGAGGUAGUGCCUCAGAUUUGAUGACCUUGUGACAACUGAAACUUUCAGAUUCAUCAGUCCCCAUAGUUCUUGUUCUUUUGGAGAUGACUAUUCUAAUUAGUUGUUUUUUCAGCCCAGUUAUAGCCCUGCAUGAAAGUAGUGAGAACUAAUUGCAACUUCAACAUGAUUACAUGAAGCUUUACAAAAAAAGAAGGAACUUUAAUAUAUAAUAAAUGAAUGCAUAAUACUCAUUUUAAAACAAAGUAUUAGUAAAAAAAUAUUGUAUGAAUUUUAAAGCAAAGAAUAUUAUGUGUUAUAUUAUACUUUUGCUUAUUAUCCUCUCUUAUGACAAUCUUUCUGUAUAAUCUAGUGGCAACUGGCAACUCAUAAGUAAGCCUACAAACAAAUACUUAUAGAAAAGGAAAAAAGUAAAAAAUAAGCUGAUAAAAAAAUAAUGCAAGCCAGAAUAUCAAUCAUAGUCGGAAAGAAAAUCAAGAAAUUUCCUAGUUAUGGAAGCAAAGUGUAAUAUUUCUGGUAGUGGGACUAAAUUGUAAUUAAUCAAGUAAACAACAAGAAAAAAACUGUCAUUUUAGUUACAAACUUGUCUGCACAAUAUGUAUAUGCGUGUUUGUCUACGUAUUUAUAUACGGAAUAGCCACUAUUACAAGGAAAAAUGCUAGGUCCACAAGGUCCUUAUUUCAUGAAUAGAAAGUGUGCCAUAUUCUCAUGUUAGAGUUGACUGCAUGGAACUAACAAAAUAAUUUGUGGAAUUAGCCAUUUCAUAUAGUAUGUUUAUGCAUGUAUAUGAUACUCUAAAUCUAAAGCUACACUUAAAUUGAAAAAUAUCAAAAAAACGUGAAAAAUUCACAAUUUUCAGUAAAUCAAUCUCCAUUAGCUACACAUAAUAAAAUAAUUUCACAAAAUAAAAAAAUAGAAGAGGAAAGCAGAGCGGUUGAAUAUCAUGCAUGUAACAGUAAUAAGGUUAAAAAUGGACCAGAUGGAACUAGAAUAGGUAUAUAUCGUAUGUGAAAAGCUCCAGAGAUGUACAUUCUACCAAGAGUUCAUCCUGUGCACACCCCAAGUAGUGAGUGCGAGUAUCUCUGGAAAAAUUAAAAAUACUGGAGACUUACCUAAACUUGUUUAAUUUAGGCUCAGAGCUUCUUCAAAUGCCCUUUCCUACAUUGGGGAUCUCAGAAAGUGUAUAUGUGCGACAGAGACUGAAAUGGCAGUUUUGCAGAGGACGGUGAGUGGAUUUUGGUACUGCAUAGACUGUAAGUGCUCCUAUUACUAUUAUAUUUAUGAUAUGACUACAGUGGCCCCCAUUAUUUCAUUAUGAUUUUGACACGUAAGAGCUUCAUGCAAACUUCUUUUCGCAUAAUAAGUGCGUUUCUAUCCCAAAUUUGGAUUGUUCUGGUGUCGUGGCAAUACUCCAACUGGAAUCCAUGCAAGAGACUACAACUUUGAUACGUUUCUUUUUCUGGUUACAUACAGUGUUAUUGCUCUUGAUAUAUUGACGGUGUUUGAAAAUUCUAGGAAAGUUCAUAUAUUUUCUGUAUAUUAGUAUAUAUUCUGUAUAUUAGUAUAUAUGGUGACAUUGUCUACUUAUUGCUCUAGAAUGAAACAAUUCAGAUAUAAGUUGCCAAUAGGUUGAAUUCAGUGCGGAUAAAUUUGUUAUUAUUCUCCAGAUUUGAAUCUGGUGGGUUUUAAUAUAUCAUUACUCAAUUCAAAUUUGAUUAUAAAUCUGGAUAAUCUGAAUUAAUGUGAUAAACAUAUAAUUAUAUAUAAUACUCCUUCCGUCCUAGAAUAAAAGUCCUAGUUGACUUUUUGUGGUUGACUUUUUGCGCAUAUUAAGAAAGAGGAUAAAAUGACAAAAUUGUCAAUAUUUAAAUUAUCAUUUAAUUGCAUAAUUUUUUGCGCAUGACUAGUGAUACUCCAUAAAUAUGCAUAGAGAAUAGAAAUAUGACAAUUAACAUUAAGAGUAUUAUAGGCAAAUUAUUGUAAAAAAUAGAUUAUUUAAGGUAAGUAGACAUUUAACUUGGGACUACCUAAAAUAGUAAUAAGGACUUUUAUUCACAUUAUAUACUUAUAAAAUUAAAAAUUUAAAAAUGCUUAGAAAUAUCAGUUUCUCAUUUAUAAGAAACAUCAAAAAAAUAUAUUAAUUAAUUUAAGAUAAUAUUAAUUGUCGGUUUCGAAUCAUAAACUGCUCGGAUCAUAGCUAACAAAUACCAAGUUUGAUCCAUAUGUAGAUGAAUUCUCUAAUUGGAAUUCGGAUUUAAAUCUUAAAUAAAUACAAGAAUACUAAGUUUGAUCCAAAAUAUAAGUUUUGGAUUUAUUUUUGCUUCAUUAAUUUUCUCCAUUAUUAUUUGAUGGUGUUUAUAUUUAAUAUGUAACUUCUAUAGCCAUGAUGUGACGCCCCAACCCGAGUCCCCUCUUGGAUUCUAGUCAGUUUGCCAAAACUUGUGAUUACAACUUGCUUAGGCUUAAAGAAGGUUAAUCCUUGAAAAGUGAGAUUGUUAAGUUGUUGCUCAACCGCCUAUUUUUAGGAUUCUUUCCACAAAGCUAAGUAAGCAAACUUGGAACUAGGUUAAGAACAUCAUAACUUUUACACCACCAUUGACCUUAUGUAGAAGGUGUCAUGUUAAAAGUAUAUAUUACGGACCAAAAUAAUCACACCCAUGAUAAAACAAGUUAUACAUCUAUUCAAUACUAAAAGGUGUUACAUAACAAGUCAUAAAAGUCCUUGAGCCACUGCACAAGCAUAGAUAACACCAUAUCACAUGUUUAUUCUCUGACAGCACAAGGAUCGACCUCGUCAAAAUGCCUUGAUAACUCAAGUCAGGCAUAUGUUCACUGGUGGCCUAGUGAGUACCGUGCACGUUUGCGUAUGUGAUAGUGUAAAAUAAUGGUGCAAGUUAAUUUUUUUUAGAGAAAGUGUGAAAAAGUUUUGAGUAAAAAAAUUAGAGAGUGAUUUUUUUUCUAAAAAGUGAUUUUUUUUUGCUAAUAUCAUUUUUUUUUUACUUUUAGUCUUCUUACGUGACUCUUCCCUACUCCUGUAUAAUUGAUUCACUUGUGCACUAGGUCAUUCUCGUAGAAAUCGCCUCCCAGAAUUUAUGACUGAACCUGCCAUAACCAUCUCCCAACUAUAACCCAAUAAGUAUUUGGUAAGUCUAGUCUCUCUAGCUAGCUUAUGAACAACCCUUGUCUUAACUAGAGUUACCAAAUACUCUCACUGACUUAGCGAACCGUGUAUUGGUACUUGCGUACCCAAACACGAUAGUCUUAUGUAUCAAUGCUCUAAAUUUAGCGUACCAAAAAAUUUCUUUAUUGUUUUACCUAUAAUUGCACAAAUAUCAAUAUUUUAACGUAGUAUUACAUGCUCAAACAUUACAUUUGUCCUAAACUAUUUUUUAAACAAUUAACUUGUUGAUUCAACUAAAAAUCUUUUAUAAAACUUAGAUUUAUUUCAUUUAGAUUCUAUGCCAAUUUCUAACUAUAAGAACUUAUAUAAAAGGUACUGUGUUUUAACUAUAUAGCGUACCGCGUACCCGUAUUUGUACCAUGUACUGGAACGAAUCACAUUCCAGGUAACACCGGACUUGACCUAACUACUCCAGAUAUCAAAUAACCAUAAAAUUAUAAUUAAACCACGAUUAACAGUCAAUUCAUUGUCAUAUAGAGCAUGCUAAUUUAUAUUGUAUUAUACAAGGUCUCCGUUAACUACCAUAAUUACUUUGCAUGGUGAGGCAUGUCGAAUCUGAUCACAAAACCACUCGAUCAUAUUAGGCUUCGAAGCAUGCUCUUACAUCUGAUCUUUACUUGAUGCGAGCUCCAUGAUUCUUACAAGUACUAGGGUUCAGUACUUGCUCGAUCUCUAGUUAUUAAGUGGAAAAGUUUGUUUCAUGAUUAACAACAUCAUGUUUACACCAUCGCUAAUAUACUAUAGAUACAUUUUACACUUCUAUCAUCUCUAGACUAUCAUGACUUCUCAUUCUCACUGCAUUGACUCUUAAAUGGCAUCUAAGUCAAUAAGAUCAUAUGAUACCAUCUUAUAAUGACCUGAGCAAUAUUCACCCGAACUUGACGGGGCCCGCCCGAUCUCGAUGGGACCCAAUUUUUUAAAUGCCUAUAAGGGUCGGCUAUGGGAUAUACCCCUCACCCCCAUCCCUAACCCGAUUUUACGUAUAUAUUUAUAUAUUUUAAUUAGUAUUUUGUAUAUAUAUAUAAUUAUGUACUUGUUUAGGUUAUUUCAUUUUAAAUUCAUUACGUUAAUAAUAUAAUAUGUUGCUAGUAAUAGAAAUAUUGUAUGUUUGAUUUUGAAUUUAAAGUAGUUGUACAAAGUAAUAUAAAAAGAGUAAAAACUUUUAGUUCCGUAAAUAACGGAGUAAUUGGGUAAACGAGGUGAGUAUGAGAUAUUGUUUUCGGGGUCAGGGGAUAACUAGUUAUUGGCGGGACGGGUAUGAGAAGGGUCCCCCGGACCAUACCCUCCCCGUUACCAGACCUAUUUAUAAGUACUUUAAUUGCUCGACAAUUCAACAUAUAUAUGCAUUGGGUGCUCUUUUUGGAUCAAUGAGGAUCCUUAUAAUGAUUCGAACUUUAGAGAAGAUAAUUCAGACUAGAUUAAGAGUUAUGGAAGGAAGAAAAAGCAGAUUAGGGUAGAAUUGACAAAAAAAGAGGAGAGAGAUAAAUGAUUUUCUCACUAAAAUAUGAUUUUCAUGAAAAUAAAAUACACUAUUUUCAAAUUUAUACUUUUAAUUGGCCUUUACUAAUAGGAGCCACUAACAUGCUCCUAACAUUAUCUUCAAGCGCUUGCUCACUGCACUCAUCACUACGGGUGAGGAUCUCUAGUGCCGAUUAACGUGAAUAACUUUUUCCAAGAUUCACUUAGAAAAAUAGGGUCUUUGUCACUUACUUGAAUUUUCUUAUUUUCCUUGCUUUUCUUUCUUAUUACGGAGACUGAGCAUAUUUUCGGAAAAAUCAUUGAAAAAUUCUUUCAUUUUUUUUUUUUGAUUCUCACCUCCCGGUAUGCGGCAACCAUUAGGUCUCAACUAAUCCGGAAUUGAGCUACGGUCGGACCCAUAAGGGGGGGGGGUAGUUCUCCUUAAAAUCGGGUUUUCCAUUCACUAGACUUGAACUCGAGACAUUUCUUAAGGGGUAUCAGGCUUCUUCCACUAGGCCCAACGGAUGUUGGUUUGAAAAAAAUGCUUUUAUUCAUGGCUUUCCUUUUGAUGUAACACAAGGAUGGAGGAAAGUAUAAAGGGGAUUCAAAGAAGAUAACAAGACUAAAAGCCACAAAUCAGAAGAUUUAAUUCAAUAUUAUCAAUGAUUCAAUAAUUAAUAAUCAUAGAUUACAACUGUUUAUAUAGGCAUAAGAAAAUUCUAAUACUUGGAGGCUAAGUAAAAUAUUGUGUAACCUAUUUAAAUAAGAAAAUAAAAUCCUAGUAAUUAUCUACUACCUUAAAUAAUUAAUACUCUUGAAUAUUCUACUAAUAUAAUUAAAUAUGUCCUAAUAUUAUCUACUAAAUAAACUAAUUACGUUGGAAUUAUCCAUAAAUAAUAAUAACUCAAUAAUAUUAAAUUCCUUUUGCUUCCAUCCUCAUCACCUUUGGUUGUCGCUUUUAAAUUCGGAGCCAUUUGGGAUCCAAUUACCAAGAGACUUCAAAAUAGUUAACGAUAAAAGGGAAAUAUGACCUUUUUAUCUAAAGCUGCUUAGGUCUAUAGGUAGGGGUGAAAAAUGAUCCGAGUAACUCUCGAGUAACUCGGUACCCGAUUCGGAUUCGACCCGAAAAUAUGAUACGGGUCUCGGGUUCGGUAACAUCCGAGUCGAAUAUGGGCCAAAGGCUCGUUUUUAGAUUAUAACACUGAUAUCGAAUCUGAGCAGAGUACUACUCGCUCAUUUUAGGGUUCGAACCAUCCUCUUUCAUCUGAUCUUUACUCGAUUCUUGCUCGAUGAACCUUACUCGUUUAGGGUUCGGUACUUGCUCGAUCUCUGAUAAAGAAGUGGAAAAGUUUAGUUCACGGUGAAUUAAUCUCUUGACUCGAUCGCCUCUCGACUCUAGAGACUUCUCAGACUUCAAUCGUCUCUCGACUCUCGAGACUUCUCAGUCUCACUUCAGCGACUCUUCAAUGGCCUCUUCGCCUCUUCGUUUAGUGAUUCAAUCUCAGAAUCACUAAAGCCCUAUUCCCAAAACACGAUUGAUGAAGCUGAAGCCAUAAAGGUCGAACUGAACAUGCGUGUAAGUCAGUUCUUACUUAUAUAUAUAAUAUAUAUUCUUCUUCUGAUUACUUUUAUAGUUUUGUUAUACCAAAAAUUCCCAAUCAAAAAAUUUAAACACUAAUUUUUAGCUUUCAAGUUUCAAUUCGAUCUUAUUCAAUGGAACACUUUGAUGCUUCAGGUAUGUUCAGUAUAGAUCUGUAAUUUUUUGUUGAUGGGUAUGUGGUUUUGAAAGAUUUUAUCGAUUUAUGUAAUGUUAUGUCCAUGUGCUUUGUUAACUAUUUACACAUCUGAUUUAUUGUUAACUAUUUACUGAUUAUCUGAUGUUGCUUUAUAUAUAUAUAUAUAUAUAUAUAUAUAUAUAUAUAUAUAUAUAUCCGUCUUUAUCUAUCUUCUCUAUGUUUCUCUAACACACAUUUGCUCAUGUACGCAACGCAGAACACACUUUUUAGAAUAAUAUAUAUACACAGACGAGUUGAAAUAGUGAAAGCAUCUCUUCUAGCUGGUUAAGUAUUCCUUAAGUAUCUAGAAUUUGUCUUGGCAUCCUGGAUUGCAACUAAGGGCUUAGUUAGUCAUAUCUGUUGGCAUUAUAUCGUUAUUCUCUUCUCUUCUUUUGGACUGUGGAAACGACUCAUUGUGAACGCUGGCUCCUGAUAGAUCUAUAGUCCAAAAAUAUUGUUUAUCAACUUUCUUUUAUUGUUACACUAGACUAAUAUGUUUCUGAUAUUUGUUUUGUUAACAAGUUUACUGGAAAAAGAAUCCUGACAAGUCUGACAAUAUGGCCACAACCCUGUUCCUGUUUCCAAAUUUAAAUAUAUAUUUCGUAAUUCCAUGUUUUCCCAGCAAUAACUUUUAUCGGGGCUGACAUUUCUAACUAAUACUGCAGCCAUACUUGCACGAAUCACGACAUCAGCAUGCUCUGCGAAGAGCUAGAGNNNNNNNNNNNNNNNNNNNNNNNNNNNNNNNNNNNNNNNNNNNNNNNNNNNNNNNNNNNNNNNNNNNNNNNNNNNNNNNNNNNNNNNNNNNNNNNNNNNNACAAAAAAAACAUGAUAUAUUGUGAUGUGUCAAUUUGUGGCAUUCCAGACUUGGUCAUCCGUCUUUUUAUGUUCUUACUAAGAUUCCUAGUCUCCUAAGUAAUAAGGAAUGAACACAUCUUUCUUGUGAUGUGUCAACAGUCUAGAAUACCAUUUCCUGUUAGCACUACCUGUACUACUCAAAAUCACAAGUGUAUAGUUUUCUGCAGUCUUUCUUUCAGUAUGUUCAUACUCAUUUUCAAUAUUCAAUUAUCACCUAAAGGUCUGAUAAUGGAACUGAGUUUACAAAAAGAGUUGUUGGUUAGUGGAACCAAAACAAGUUUGAAAAGCAAUGGAAUGAAAUUAAAUCAAAUGAAAUUUUCUUAAAAAGGGUACGAACACUGAGUUUUGAGCUUUUAAUUAAGUGUCUUAAUAAUGUUGUUAGAGACCAAACUUGGAUGAAAAAUGUACCUUAUAACAAGGUCUCGAAGUAGGAACAAAUUUCAAGUCAUUUGAACUUGUAUAGCAAAAGUUACGCUAACCGUUAGGAGGCAUGAAGAAAUAAAAUUCGAAAAGUUAGUGGACUGCUGACCCUAAAAGAAAAAUUCGGGGAUAGCUAGAUUGUUCAGAAAAUUCUGGGCUUUUGGUAUGUUAUAGUUCACUGAAUAAGCUUUUCAUAGACUCCGAAACGGACAAAUUCCGACUUCGGAGUAAAGAGUUACGACCAUUCAAAGUAGUCGCGUCAAAACUGUCCAACCAAUUCCGACCAGUCCCCUUUGCACGAAAUUCUGGAAUUCUGUGUUUUGAAUUUGGAAAUGGUCAAAGAAUAAAAGUUGUAGCCCCGGAAGUUAGCUUCGCGUGGGCUCAAGAAUCGCUCAAAAAUGUUUUGAAACGAAAAAGUUAUGACUAUUUUAGCGAUAGAGGGUAAAACUGCAAAAAAGUUUUAAACUAUUAUGGAGGGGCAUUUUCGAGGCCUAUUAUGGGCUGGCUAAAAGACCCAAAAUGGGUAGCUUAUGAAGACUGUAAUGGAGAGGUUAAAUAUGCUUAAAAUACUUUCUUAUGCUAUGUGUUAUAUAUCUUGUGUAAGUUGUGUAAAAAAUCUCAAAUCAUGGUUAUGUGCUAUGAUGGAAAUAACUGUGGCCUCCGAAUCAACAUUUAGUGCUGGGGGAAGGGUUCUUGACCAGUUCAGGAGCUCUUUAAAGCCUGACACGGUUCAGACUUUGAUUUGCACAGGUGAUUGGUUGCGGGCUGAGUAUAGGGUUAAGAAAAGCAUGAUUGUAAGUAUUAAUUUGUUUAAUUUUUUUUUACAUAAAUAAAUACAUAUGCAAAUAAUAUCAUGUAUUAAUAUUAAUUGUUUGACAAUGUAGGCUGAUGAAGAUUCAAUGCAAGAGGUGGGCUUGGAGACUGAAGUGCUGAUGCAAUAAAGAAAAUUGAACUGUUGAACUGUUUACUUUGUUUACUAUUGAACUGUUGAACUUGGACAGUUGGACUUUGGUUAUUUUGUUUGGAACUUUGGAUUUUCAAUCGAGCAUUUUGGAAUUUGGUUUAUGAAAUGGUGUCAAACUACUAGCUUUUUCAAUCGAGUUUGGAAUUUGGAGUUUAAAUAUUUGGCUUGCAGCUUUAAGUUGAUAGUGCACAACCAUCAAGGAAACUAGUUUGGUGUAAAGUCUACAAAAAGAUAAGUUUCUUAUCUUUUUUAUUUUGACAUUUUCUGUUAUUUAUUACAGUUAGUUUUUUACUUAUUUCUAACCCAUCUUCUAUAUUUGCAGGAUUUA